rnacentral:rRNA from 1 species
AGAGUUUGAUCAUGGCUCAGAGCGAACGCUGGCGGCAGGCUUAACACAUGCAAGUCGAACGGGCGUAGCAAUACGUCAGUGGCAGACGGGUGAGUAACACGUGGGAACGUACCCUUUGGUUCGGAACAACACAGGGAAACUUGUGCUAAUACCGGAUAAGCCCUUACGGGGAAAGAUUUAUCGCCGAAGGAUCGGCCCGCGUCUGAUUAGCUUGUUGGUGAGGUAAUGGCUCACCAAGGCGACGAUCAGUAGCUGGUCUGAGAGGAUGAUCAGCCACACUGGGACUGAGACACGGCCCAGACUCCUACGGGAGGCAGCAGUGGGGAAUAUUGGACAAUGGGCGCAAGCCUGAUCCAGCCAUGCCGCGUGAGUGAUGAAGGCCCUAGGGUUGUAAAGCUCUUUUGGCGGGGAAGAUAAUGACGGUACCCGCAGAAUAAGCCCCGGCUAACUUCGUG